rnacentral:rRNA from 1 species
AGUGAACGCUGGCGGCGUGCUUAACACAUGCAAGUCGAACGAGAACGGGUUAUAGCUUGCUAUAAUUGUCAGCUAAGUGGCGCACGGGUGAGUAAUGUAUAGGUAAUAUGCCUCUUACUAAGGGAUAACAAAUGGAAACGUUUGCUAAUACCUUAUACUCCUUAUUAACAUAAGUUAAUAAGGGAAAGAUUUAUUGGUAAGAGAUUAGCCUGUAUUGUAUCAGUUAGUUGGUGGGGUAAUGGCUUACCAAGACUAUGACACAUAACUGGUUUGAGAGGGUGAUCAGACAAACUGGAACUGAGACACGGUCCAAACUCCUACGGGAGGCAGCAGUGGGGAAUAUUGCACAAUGGACGAAAGUCUGAUGCAGCAACGCCGCGUGGAGGAUGACACACUUCGGUGCGUAAACUCCUUUUAUAUGAGAAGAUAAUGACGGUAUUAUAUGAAUAAGCACCGGCUAACUCCGUGCCAGCCGCCGCGGUAA